rnacentral:rRNA from 1 species
UGCGCAGGCGGUCCGUUAAGACAGAUGUGAAAUCCCCGGGCUUAACCUGGGAACUGCAUUUGUGACUGGCGGACUCGAGUAUGGCAGAGGGGGGUAGAAUUCCACGUGUAGCAGUGAAAUGCGUAGAGAUGUGGAGGAAUACCGAUGGCGAAGGCAGCCCCCUGGGCCAAUACUGACGCUCAUGCACGAAAGCUGGGAGCAAAC